AUGGGGCAGAAAGAAGUUUCUGAACUUAUUGCUCCUGGGCACAAGGCCUUGGGGAUCCUGGAAAGCCCAGAAAGCAUUUGCUGCAUGGAGGCUGGAGGUCACAGGAAAUUCCUUAUCUUGGGAAGUCUUCAGAACAUCUUAUUACUAAAGUGCCAUGAUCUCUGUCACCAGAGUGUCUGGAAAAAAAGCAAGACCCAGACUCAGUGUCUUCCAAAAUUGGAGAGAAGUGGUUUUACAACCAGAAGACAUUCAGGACUCUGUGCUGAGAGCCAUUUGAUACAGGUGGGCAUUCUGGAAAGCCGUGGUUUUGCAGUAUUGGGGGAGUAUAUCUGUGUGCUGGGGGAGAGAGAGAGCACACCUGCUCACCCCACAUGGUCCGUGCCCUCUAGAAAACACCUUUAUAAAGCAAUCCAAUAACGCUCAGACAGACAUGUUCUGAAUCAUACCUAAACAUGCCAGAUGCACAUUACAUUACUUGAAAUGUGUGCUUUAAUUUGGUUUCUUGACUCUCCUUCUUCCAUCUUUAAAACAUUUCAAUAAAAGGAAGCUGCACAUCUUGAGUAAAUCA
rnacentral:lncRNA from 1 species